CUGCAACAGUCAAACGUGUCUAUAAGUGGCACAGACACACCUUCUUUUUCAGGAUCUCUCAGGCUGUCCUCCAGAAACAUUAGGUUGAAUUACCAGUCCUUUCACCUUCAUCGCAUGUACCAACAGCUCACAAAGAGGUCUGUUUGAUCCUUGGAGAAAUAAGACAAAUGAAAUGUGAGCCUACAGAAUCAUAAGGUCCUGCACGGAAACCCCUGGGACGGUGAUGAUGGUCUGGUGAUGGCACACUGCUGGCAACAUUCUCUUGUGGUGAACACAGAAAGACCCCUUCCUAAAGCAGACAGCAAAGAAAACCAGCAGUAUCAUCUCAGUCUGCUCAGCCUGCUGAUUAAAGGACUGGGAAUAUGGAAAGAGGGAAAACGGGUGCUGCUGGCUGCAUGCAAACACCAGAGUGCUACAGCACUCUACCUGGAACUCUCUGCAGGUUUGCUUUCAGCUGGGACAGUUAUUUAUUUUUUUUCAUAGUGUCUAAUACCAUGCUAUGUUUUGGCUUUGGGAGAAAACAAUGUUACUACCACAUGUUUUUGUUCUUGCUGAGCAGUGUUGUACAGAACCAAUGAUGUUUCAACUUCUGGUACUGCGCUGUCAGUGACGGGGGCUUCAGGGCACAGCAGACAGACCAUGACAGCUGACCUGAACUGGCCA
rnacentral:lncRNA from 1 species